rnacentral:rRNA from 1 species
GACGAACGCUGGCGGCGUGCUUAACACAUGCAAGUCGAGCGGUAAGGCCCUUCGGGGUACACGAGCGGCGAACGGGUGAGUAACACGUGGGUGACCUGCCUCUAGCUCUGGGAUAAGCCUGGGAAACCGGGUCUAAUACCGGAUAUGACUCCAUGACGCAUGUUGUGGGGUGGAAAGCCUUGUGCGGCUGGGGAUGGGCCCGCGGCCUAUCAGCUUGUUGGUGGGGUGAUGGCCUACCAAGGCGA